rnacentral:rRNA from 1 species
CCUACGGGAGGCAGCAGUGAGGAAUAUUGGUCAAUGGCCGGAAGGCUGAACCAGCCAUGCCGCGUGAAGGUCAGUGCCCUAUGGGCGUUAAACUUCUUUUGUGCGGGAGCAAUAAUGGUCACGUGUGGCCAGACGAGAGUACCGUACGAAUAAGCAUCGGCUAACUCCGGGCCAGCAGCCGCGGUAAUACGGGGGAUGCAAGCGUUAUACGGAUUUAUUGGGUUUAAAGGGUGCGUAGGCUGUGAGGUAAGUCAGCGGGGAAAUGCCCCCGCUCAACGGGGUGAAGUGCCAUUGAUACUGCCUUGCUGGAAUGCGGAUGCCGUGGGAGGAAUGUGUGGUGUAGCGGUGAAAUGCAUAGAUAUCACACAGAACACCGAUUGCGAAGGCAUCUCACGAAUCCGCGAUUGACGCUGAUGCACGAAAGCGUGGGUAUCAAACAGGAUUAGAUACCCGAGUAGUC